AUUGAACGCUGGCGGCAGGCUUAACACAUGCAAGUCGAGCGGAUUACAGAGCUUGCUCUGUAGUUAGCGGCGAACGGGUGAGUAAUACCUAGGAAUCUGCCUAUUAGUGGGGGAUAACGUGUGGAAACGCACGCUAAUACCGCAUACGUCCUACGGGAGAAAGCAGGGGAUCUUCGGACCUUGCGCUAAUAGAUGAGCCUAGGCCAGAUUAGCUAGUUGGUAGGGUAAAGGCCUACCAAGGCGACGAUCUGUAGCUGGUCUGAGAGGAUGGCCAGCCACACUGGAACUGAGACACGGUCCAGACUCCUACGGGAGGCAGCAGUGGGGAAUAUUGGACAAUGGGGGCAACCCUGAUCCAGCCAUGCCGCGUGUGUGAAGAAGGCCUUCGGUUGUAAGACACUUAAGUCGAGGAGGAAGGUUACGUAGUUAAUUACCUAGUAGAAUUGACGUUACUACGCAGAAUAAGACACCGGCUAACUCUGUG
rnacentral:rRNA from 1 species